UACGGAGGGUGCGAGCGUUGUCCGGAAUCAUUGGGCGUAAAGGGCGCGUAGGUGGCCCGGUCAGUCAGUGGUGAAAGCGCGGGGCUCAACUCGCGUCGGCCAUUGAUACUGCUGGGCUUGAGCACUGUAGAGGCAGGCGGAAUUCCGGGUGUAGCGGUGGAAUGCGUAGAGAUCCGGAAGAACACCGGUGGCGAAGGCGGCCUGCUGGGCGAGUAGCUGACACUGAGGCGCGACAGCGUGGGGAGCAAACAGG
rnacentral:rRNA from 1 species